AAGAUCAAAAAAAAAAAAAAAAAAAAUAAUUAAUACUGCCACCAUACUUUUUCUAGUACAAAAGCAAAGCAAAAAGGCAGACUUUAUCUUAUCAAUAUGAGAAUUCCUUGAAAUGGGUACCCCAUAACUUUCUUUAAGCCUUGAUUUAUCAUUGAUUGCUUGAAUAAUUAAGAUAUGGCCAAAUUGAAAAAAAAUAGCUUAAGUUUUGAUUUAGAAGACAAGUCGAUAGUAUUGUGAUAUGAUCGUUAAAUUAUUCAAAAUAGUCCUUAUCAAGUUCGAAGAGAUACAUUUUUAUAAAAGAAAUCAAUCGUGGAAGACUAGUAUCGACUUCAUAUUCAUAAAUUUUCAUUUUGUCUUUUGGCUACUAAUUUGGGAUGAAUUAUUAUUAAAUGGUCUCAACUCUUGAAUGUCAUUUUUUUAGAAACUUCUAACAUGAGAAAAAUGACAAAAAAUAGGUGUUUGUACUUAAUAGUGUUUUAUUAAUUACUUAAAUAUAUAAUCAUGUCAUUCUUUUAUUUUCAAUUAUAGUUUAGAAAAAAUAUAUGAUAAUAAUAAGACUGAAGAUUAAUUCCUCUUAGGCUUCCACUAAUUAUUUAUUCUUAAGAAUAUCCCAUUGAAUUUAUACAGAACCCAUUAGUUAUAUCAAGGAAUGAAGUAGGAUCUUGAUGAUGGAGGGAUGGCUUUCAUAGUUGCUUGAUUUAAUGAUAUAGAUAUGCAGUUAAAAAAAUGCAAAUAAAGUAGAGGAAAAUGAGAUAAUUACAAGAAAAGAUCAAGUAGUGAGAGAAAAAUCCUACUAUAUCAGACCUCAGGAUGAUAUGAGUCCGUCACAGCCUUCUCAAUGACCAUUUUCAACACUUUAUUCCUUCUUCAAAAAUAAUGAAUUAUUAUGUAAGUAACUAAUACUGGAAAUAAUUAAUGAAAAUAUAUAGGUAUGACAAAACUUAAAAAAGUCUGAAUAAUCGUCUAUAUUUUCAAAGUGGCAUUUCCAUUCCAUUUUUUUUUAUUAGACUUCCUCAAUUAUGAAUGUAUCAUAUAUCACUAUCUAGCACUUACCAUAUCUGCAGUUCAUUCCAAUGUAGUCUUUCUAUUUUUAUUAAUCAUAAUAAUAGUAACUCUUAUCAUUCCAAUUAAUUACAAUUUUUGCUACAUAACUAUUAAUAUGAGUGUAAAUAUAUUCUGUAGUUAAAUAAGUUAUAUUAAUCAAUUAUAUAAUUAUUCAUCAAGACAUAUACGUCAUAGCCAAUUAACAAA
rnacentral:lncRNA from 1 species